rnacentral:rRNA from 1 species
UACGUAGGGGGCAAGCGUUGUCCGGAUUCAUUGGGCGUAAAGAGCGUGUAGGCGGCCAGGUAGGUCGGUUGUGAAAACUGGAGGCUCAACCUUCAGAGGUCGACCGAAACCAUCUGGCUAGAGUCCGGGAGAGGAGAGUGGAAUUCCUGGUGUAGCGGUGAAAUGCGCAGAUAUCAGGAAGAACACCAAUGGCGAAGGCAGCUCGCUGGGACGUUACUGACGCUGAGACGCGAAAGCGUGGGGAGCAAACAGG